UGGGGAAUCUUCCGCAAUGGACGAAAGUCUGACGGAGCAACGCCGCGUGAGUGAUGACGGCCUUCGGGUUGUAAAGCUCUGUUAAUCGGGACGAAUGGUUCUUGUGCGAAUAGUGCAAGGAGUUGACGGUACCGGAAUAGAAAGCCACGGCUAACGACGUGCCAGCAGCCGCGGUAAUACGUAGGUGGCAAGCGUUGUCCGGAAUUAUUGGGCGUAAAGCGCGCGCAGGCGGAUUGGUCAGUCUGUCUUAAAAGUUCGGGGCUUCACCCCGUGAUGUGAUGGAAACUGCCAAUCUAGAGUAUCGGAGAGGAAAGUGGAAUUCCUAGUGUAGCGGUGAAAUGCGUAGAUAUUAGGAAGAACACCAGUGGCGAAGGCGACUUUCUGGACGAAAACUGACGCUGAGGCGCGAAAGCCAGGGGAGCGAACGGG
rnacentral:rRNA from 1 species